AAACAAUUAUGUUAUCAUGUUGAACUGCAUUGUAUUUGGUGAUGACACUUUUAAAGGUUCAUUUGGAUGUAUUUGUUAAUUUUGGGGACUUAGUUUCAGAUGUGUAUGGCAAGGGAGUUGGUUUCAGAUGUGUAUCACAACCGAAAACAUGAUGAACAUACAACCCAAAUCUAAAUACACAAAACAGAUAUGAAAGUAGAAGAGAAAUCCAUAAAGUCCGACUGAAAACAUGAUGAACAUUUUAAGGCAAAAUUUGGGGAAGAUGAAGAAAAUCCUAAAAUUUGGGGAAG
rnacentral:lncRNA from 1 species